ensembl:lncRNA H2AZ2-DT H2AZ2 divergent transcript
UGAAGCGAUUGCAGGCGCUGUGGCUUUCCCGCCCAUUCGCGGCGUUGGUUUUCCCGCUUCUGAGACUUGUUUGGGGAGGUUAAAAUUUGGAGGAUAACUCCCAGCUAGAAAGGAAGAAAAGCUCUAAAGUGGAAUCGCCUUCCCCCGGAAGCUGUUGUAAAAAUUAAAGGAUGUAUGUGAGUGCACAG